GUCGAACGAAGUAACAAUACUUAGUGGCAGACGGGUGAGUAACAUGUGGGUAUCUGCCCUUUGGCCUGGAAUAACACGAGGAAACUUGUGCUAAUACCGGAUAAGUCUUUACGGAGAAAGCUUUAUGCGCCAUUGGAUGAGCCCGCACUUGAUUAGUUUGUUGGUGGGGUAAUGGCCUACCAAGACUGUGAUCAAUAGCUGAUUUGAGAGGAUGAUCAGCCACAUUGGGACUGAGACACGGCCCAAACUCCUACGGGAGGCAGCAGUGGGGAAUCUUGCACAAUGGAGGAAACUCUGAUGCAGCGAUGCCGCGUGAGUGAAGAAGGCCCUUGGGUUGUAAAGCUCUUUCGUCGGGGAAGAAAAUGACUGUACCCGAAUAAGAAGGUCCGGCUAACUUCGUGCCAGCAGCCGCGGUAAUACGAAGGGACCUAGCGUAGUUCGGAAUUACUGGGCUUAAAGAGUUCGUAGGUGGUUGAAAAAGUUGGUGGUGAAAUCCCAGAGCUUAACUCUGGAACUGCCAUCAAAACUUUUCAGCUAGAGUAUGAUAGAGGAAAGCAGAAUUUCUAGUGUAGAGGUGAAAUUCGUAGAUAUUAGAAAGAAUACCAAUUGCGAAGGCAGCUUUCUGGAUCAUUACUGACACUGAGGAACGAAAGCAUGGGUAGCGAAGAGGAUUAGAUACCCUCGUAGUCCAUGCCGUAAACGAUGUGUGUUAGACGUUGGAAAUUUAUUUUCAGUGUCGCAGCGAAAGCAAUAAACACACCGCCUGGGGAGUACGACCGCAAGGUUAAA
rnacentral:rRNA from 1 species